AGUGUGUUUCCGUGUACCACUACUUGCUAUUAGUCAACUUGUUGCAUUUGCAAAUUUGCGAAUCUUUUUCAACAUUAUUUAGUCUCACUAACAAUUGCAUAUAUUUUGUCCACCAUCCUCACUAAGCUCCACCAAAGGCUUUAUUUGUGUAGGUGUGAGAAAUCGACGAGAUCCGAUACGAAUUGUGUUAUUUCCUUGUUACACUAUUGAGUGAUCAUUGAUCCAUUUUCAACAUCUGGUAAGGUACAUUUGGUCUAGUUCUUUUCAUAUGGAUAGGCUAACUACUUCUUAGAAUCCACUCUUCAUCGAUCAAGAUGAGGACCCAAACAUCUACGUCACCAAGAACCACCUCUUCGGCACACAAAGAGAUUUGCAUCGAUGUGGCUGCCAUAUCUGUUCCAAGCAGUGCCCGCUUGUAUGACUUGUUGUAUUCAUCGUUAUUAUAACGUUGGUCAAGAUUAAUAAGGCUUAGGAGCAUUAUAUUUGAGUGUCAUGAAGGGUACUUGGUGCUUUUACUAUGUUACGCACUUGAUGCCAACUGAAGAUUUAAGACUCGUGAAUAUGCUCAAGGGUAGAAAACUGUGCUACAAAGAAAUGAUGUGAGCUUCAAAAAGGUUGGUGCGCCAUCUAGAAAAUGGAAACAGAAACAUAUUAUAUGCUUUUUGUAUGCCAAUCUGCCUCUAAACCAGCUAGACACACCACUAUAGAGAAUCUGCGCAAAACAGAGCAAGCAGGGAGGCGUGAGGGGGAAACCACAUGACCCUUCCAAGAUGAAUAUUUGAGUGCUCUUGUUUGAAAUUUUUUGUUCACGGGAGCAGGCUGACACCCGUAGUUGUUUGGCAUCAAAUUCAAAAGAUACACAUCCUAAGAUUGAAGCAAUGCUACCUGAACCAAAGGGUUGUACGCCCACCAUUAUUAAUAUUCCAUACUAUUCGUGUUCUUCAGAUCCCAAUAAUUUAUUCGGUCUUGCUUUUGACAUAAAACACAAGUACAGGCAGAGAGAAGACGAGGUCGAACCCCAACAACGGAAGGUAUCUUGGCACAAAACCAUCAUGAGGAGAAGGGGAUGUGUUGCUGUACAUGAGGUGUUAAUAAAGUUUCACAUUCUUUGUUCUGGUAGAUUUGGUGUGUUGGGUUGCCAUGUUUGCUGUAUUUAUUUUCCUUAGAUUGCUCCGGUGUUUUUGGUGCAAAUUGAUCAGGGAGGGCCUAGGAUUUUGUCAAGUUUUUGUCAGGUUAUUCUAUGUAUAGGAUUGCGCUUCUAUGUGUUGUUUCCUUCAAACUGUCAUUGCAACAAAAGAUGAAGGGUGUCUUCGUGAUCAGUAGACCAGUGUGUGAUACCGCCUGUUGUAGUUCUAUUGCUAUGCAUACAUGGGCAAUAAAUGCAAGUAAUAUAGUUUUGAUGAUGUCUGAGUGUAUCUUGUGUAUGUGCAGAUAAGCAGCCCUGUUCAGAAGUGCUUUAUAGAGGUCCUGUAAGCUUUCUAGACAUACAUGUUGUUUCCAGUCUCUCUCGGCUUCCCCAAUCCUAGAGGAUUGGGAGGGGAAUGCAUUUUCCAGUGCCUCAAUUUUUGGUUACUUGUGGAGAGUAGAAGAAGAAUUUUGAGGAAGAGUGUGAUUAAGAAGCCCAAGAUCAAUACAUGGUGUUGGUCGUGUGAACAGAGGUUGUUCUUCGGGCCUCUAUAUGAGCUAGCUGUAAACCCCCCCAGGCCAUUUAAACCCCACAUGUCAGAGAUAGCGGUGGGGGGUAUAUGAUCAAGGAUUUGCCAACAAGGGGGGUUAUCGUCAAUUAUCCAGGUAGAAAUCAGUGGUUGUGCUUAAGCUUCUGUUCUUUAUUUAACUUUGAGGCAUAAAUUCAAAUGAUUAGUAUAUGCAUAGCAGUUUAAUGCAAGUGAUAGUUGUGGUAAAGUAGAAUCCAAGAUCGAGGAAGGUGUCGAGGGGAGCACAUCAAAUUCUAUCAAAGUAAUUAUCAACAAUGCUACUCUGAAUUAUAGUGGCAGCUGGUCAAUAUCAUGAACUUUUCCACUAUGAUUUGUUUUAUUAUUAUUAUAUAAUGUGUGGAUCAACUUCACGGGACAAAGAAGCCUAAUGCUCCUCAUGGACGAGGUUGACAGUAUAUAUGAUGGUGGAAUGUGACAAAUGUGACCGGUAAUACUUCGACUGUAUCUCAAAGCUUGUGUAGUGGGAGCAUUUCAGUGUACAUAAUGCUUCAUGGGAUAUGUAAAUUUUUUAUUGUCUGAAAAUAUGAAUGCCCAUGAUCUCUGCUAGAUCUAAUUUUAACCAUCAAUCUGAUAUUUUAUUUGCACAAAGGAUGAAUUUUCCGGCAGCGUGGAGAGCCCUAUAUAUUGAUGACCAGCUGCCUCAGAUUUACUUGUGAGCAAUUCAUAUAUCAUGAUCUACCAUUUUGUUUUCUUCUAGACCAAGAUUGAUUAAUGUUAUUCAUCAUCAGUGUUUCAGUUUCAUUAGUCCUCACAUGAACAUGUUGAUUUCUAAUUUCUCCGCACAUAAAUAUGUAAGACAUAUUUGUACCUUUUCCCUGUAGGUAAGCAGAACAGGGCAGGGCUCACAUUUACUUUCUAACGUAAUGAGUGUGCUAUUACCUGUUGAUACUUGACAUUAGUGAUCAGCUUGAUGCAAGCUUUUGUGUCGAUUACUUUCUGCCUUUUUUGAUAACCAUUAUUAUUUUUAAUUUUUUUCUAUUGUGUUUUUUUUGCUUCCUUUUUCUGUCAAACUCUCAUGUGGUACUAUUUGUCAAGCAUUGAUAUUGUUUUCACGUACAAUUCAUUAUUUUUUGCUCAUUUAAUUAGAUGUUCAAAAAUAUGAUAAAUGUGGGGCCUUGGUGCUAGAUGAGAUACUGACUUGUACUACAGGAAGGGAAAGUAAGCGACCGUUAUCAUUCACUUGCACUAUAUAUCCUAAAUCUGUAUAGUUAGUUUCACUUCUGUUUAUAUGCUGGUUAGUUGCACUAUAUGAUAUAGCUAGCUAUGUAGUUUUAUUUAUAAAGUCGGUACAAAUAAGCUACUGCAAGCUUCAUUCGUAGCUUUCUUUUGAUGUAAGUUGAUGCUUUUAGUCCAUCAUGCUUCCCAUUAUCAGGCUUGAUACGCCUGAGCCAGUUAUGUAUAAAGACGCCAUUUAAGUAUCUCCUUGCACUGGUAUGCCUGGACCAUAAUGUUACCAGGAUCGAUAAAAUAUGCCAUGUAAGUAUAAUGGUUUUAAAUUUUAAUUCUUGGUUUGCUUUGGCUACUUGCACCAGUUGCACAAGCAGCCUCUGUUUUUAUUCCACAUAAAUCCAAGGACAAUGUAUUUUGACCUUCUAUCUUUGUUCAACUGCAAUAUCUCAAAUCGAAAGACACAAAUUAUUUUGAAUGGUAACUAAUUGGAUACAAGCACGAGUGAGCCAAGGGAUCGUUGACUCCCUAGCUGUCUUUCCCGGUUUCACUCACUGCCAGAGCAAGAAUACUAUUUUUGAUGGGGUUUGUUCUGGAAACGGAGACAACAUAUCUCGAUGCAAAAUGCUUCAACCGUCAGGUUUUUAUGUUAGCCAUUAUUAGGUUUACGAAAAAGUAUUUCACUACUACCAUGCUUCUAUUCUACAUGUUCUUUUUGCCAUAGGAUGCAUGUGACAUCAUUAGUAUUAAGUAUGAG